rnacentral:sRNA from 1 species
UUUUUUGGAGUCAAAUAUGACUUGAUGUCAUGUGUAUGAUUGAGUAUAAGAACUAGAACCGCAACCGUUUCCCAAAAGCUAAAGUAGUGUUUCCUUGUUAGAACAUACAAAGCAAAAGAAUCAUAUGGACUUCUGCUACACCAUCAAAGCUUUGAGGAACAAUAAGAAAAGCUUUGUUAUGGUUUUGGAGUCACAUAUGACUAGAUGUCAUGUGUAUGAUUGAGUAUAAGAACUAGAACCAUAACUGAUUCCCAAAAGCUAAAGUAAUGUUUCCUUGUUAGAAGAUACAAAGCUAAAAACUCAUACGGACUUCGGCUAAGCCAUCAAAAUUUUGAGAAGCAAUAAGAAGCUUGGUUAGUGUUUUGGAGUCAAAUAUGACUAGAUGUCAUGUGUAUGAUUGAGUAUAAGAACUAGAACCGCAACCGUUUCCCAAAAGCUAAAGUAGUAUUUCCUUGUUAGAAGCUACAAAGCCAAAGACUCAUACGGACUUCGGCUACACCAUCAAAGUUUUGAGAAGCAAUAAGAAGCUUGGUUAGUAUUUUGGAGUCAAAUAAGACAAGAUGUUAUGUGUUUGAUUGAGUAUAAGAACUAGAACCGCAACAUCUUCCCAAAAGCUAAAGUUGUGUUUCCCUUCUAGAAGAUACAAAGCCAAAAACUCAUACGGACUUUGGCUACACCAUCAAAGCUUUAAGAAGCAACAAGAAGUUUGGUUAGUGUUUUGGAGUAAAAAAAGACUAUA